CAGCUAGCUAGCUCUUUGUUUCACUUGUUUUUCUCGAUAUCAGUUGCUUCCCUUUUGGCAGAUUCACGUUAAUCAACUUGUCACAUGCAACAAACUACGUUUAAGUUUCACUUUUACCAAGAUUAGUUGGCUGUGUCUUUUACUAUAAACCCAAUCAAAACCCCCAUUUCGCCCCACAAGGCACUUACCUUCGAUCAGUUUUGAACAACUCUUUUUUUUUUACCCUGAGAGCUUCCUGUAUGAGUUUUUAUAUGCCAAUAAUGUGUGUCACGGCAAUGAUGUUUGGGUCAGUAGCAAGAACGAUGAGUGCAUUGAUGGUUCAGCCAGCUUCCACCUUAACAACAUUGUUGUACUACAGUGAUCUCCUCCCCAGCAACCUGAAUUUGGACCGGUUGGUUCGUAGGGACUUAGUUGAUGGUGGAAACUAUAUUUUUCAUUUUCUCAUCCACUUUUUGAGAUGUUUUUGGUAGUCAUUUUCAUAUAACUAAUUUCAUUUCUAGCCUUUUCUUUUUUCUGGUAUGUCUUUCUCUUUGUUUUGAGACCUUCAGUUCGGUGUAAGAUGAUUGAAAAUAAAAUUAUAUCGUCUCUCGGAACUCUAUACAUAUUGUUCUUGAAUGGAAAUUCUCCAAUAGUGGAGUACUCCUCCUCUAUAGUAUUAAUGGAAAUUUCAUGGUUCGAAGGA